UUUUCUCCUCAGGUGAAGAGGGAACUAGCUGGUGUUCUGAUAUUUGAGUCCCAUGCCAAAGCAGGCACAGUGUUGUUUAAUCAAGGGGAGGAGGGCACGUCAUGGUACAUCAUCCUGAAGGGCUCCGUUAACGUGGUGAUCUAUGGAAAGGGUGUCGUUUGCACGCUACAUGAGGGAGAUGACUUCGGGAAGCUGGCUCUGGUGAAUGACGCACCUCGGGCAGCGUCUAUCGUACUGAGAGAGGACAACUGCCACUUCCUGAGAGUGGAUAAAGAAGACUUCAACAGAGUCC